rnacentral:rRNA from 1 species
AUUGAACGCUGGCGGCAGGCCUAACACAUGCAAGUCGAGCGGAUGACGGGAGCUUGCUCCUUGAUUCAGCGGCGGACGGGUGAGUAAUGCCUAGGAAUCUGCCUGGUAGUGGGGGACAACGUUUCGAAAGGAACGCUAAUACCGCAUACGUCCUACGGGAGAAAGCAGGGGACCUUCGGGCCUUGCGCUAGCAGAUGAGCCUAGGUCGGAUUAGCUAGUAGGUGAGGUAAUGGCUCACCUAGGAGACGAUCCGUAACUGGUCUGAGAGGAUGAUCAGUCACACUGGAACUGGGACACGGUCCAGACUCCUACGGGAGGCAGCAGUGGGGAAUAUUGGACAAUGGGCGAAAGCCUGAUCCAGCCAUGCCGCGUGUGUGAAGAAGGUCUUCGGAUUGUAAAGCACUUUAAGUUGGGAGGAAGGGCAGUAAGCUAAUACCUUGCUGUUUUGACGUUACCGACAGAAUAAGCACCGGCUAACUCUGUGCCAGCCGCCGCAGUAAGAC